UUUUUCUUCUCAAUAUGUUUUUCAAAAACAGAUAUAAUCUUGGAUUUCAUAAGACUAUUUUCACACAUCAUCCUGGGAUCUGCAGAGCACUACCAGGCAUUGAAAAUGGCUCUGAGGAUAUUGUGACUUCCUCCAAUGGACUUGCAUUUAUAUCAUCUGGUAACCUGAAAGAGUUGGAACCUGAUCAAGGAAUAUUGGGUCGCAUCUUUCUCUUUGACUUCAACCAUCCUGAUCUUGACCCUAUAGA